UGAACGUGCGAAAGAGUGGCUCUCCAAAGCAUGGAGGAAAGAAAGGGCGUUCCUGCUGAACAGCCGGGGCAGCUGGUGCUGUAAAAGGGCGCUCGUGAGACUCCUCUCUGCCGGGGCUGGGGCCUCCGGCUGGGCUGCUGUCUUCUGAGGUUGAGUGGAGUCAGAGCUGGGAGACGUGGGAGCUGGUGGGUCCGAGGGAGGUGUAGGGGACAGUGGAGACGUGCCAAGUCGGUGGGCCUGCACGACCCCUGCAGCAGCCGCCACGAGGGGUUCCGACGCUCAGCUUUCUUGGCCGGGCCCGACUGGGAGUUGCUGGAUGCCCCCGUGAGCAGCUAAGAUGGUCCCUGCGAGUCAGUGCUUUACUCAUGAAGGUCGGAGACGCAAGGGAGCAGCACGUUGUCCAGCCCCUUUCUCAUGCAGAUGGGGAAACUGAGGCCCAGAGUGAGUCAGUUCUCCUGAUUCUACGUGCUUGCCAAAUUACUCUUUACUUAAACGUUUCAAACAGACUUUUCAAAUGUCUUGUCCUGUGUCGUCGGCUGCACACCAUGUUAAGCCUGCUGGCCUUGGGCCUGCCACGCCCCUGGCCCUGUGCAUACAGGGCCUGCAGCACUGAACAAGACUCCAACAGCCGGCCAGUUUGUUCAGACAGGAAGUGGCAGACGGAUCCAGGAGGGAAGAAAAGUCAUUUAAGGACACUCAGAACGUGGAUGCACAGGAUGGCGAGAGAUGCUCCUAAAGAAAGCUAUCAGUACCAGAAUCCAAGAAACAGAAAAAAUCUGUGUCGUUUUGGAAGUCUUCCCCAUCUCUGCAAGGCGGCGAAUUACACCAAUUUUUUGGCGUUAAAGCAAGAUUUACGCUAGCAUCCUGGACCAGGCCUGAUAUGGACAUGAUGUGUUUUCCUUUUCAUAUAUUGCUGUCUUUGGCUUGUUAAUUUUAUUUAGGACUAUUAUAGAUGUUUAUGAGUAAAAUUAGUCUGUAAUUUUCUUUCUCAUACUGUUCUUGUUGGGUUUUGGUGUUAAAAUUUCUCUAGUCUCACAAAAUAAAAUGAGGAGUGUUCUCACUUU
rnacentral:lncRNA from 1 species